UACGGAGGAUGCGGGCGUUAUCCGGAUUUAUUGGGUUUAAAGGGUGCGUAGGCGGUCCGUUAAGUCAGCGGUAAAAUUGCGGGGCUCAACCCCGUCGAGCCGUUGAAACUGGCAGACUUGAGCUGGCGAGAAGUACGCGGAAUGCGCGGUGUAGCGGUGAAAUGCAUAGAUAUCGCGCAGAACUCCGAUUGCGAAGGCAGCGUACCGGCGCCAGACUGACGCUGAGGCACGAAAGCGUGGGGAUCGAACAGG
rnacentral:rRNA from 1 species